rnacentral:tRNA from 1 species
GGGGCUGUGGCUUAGUGGCAGAGUGACUGCUUGGCAUGCAGAAGGGGCCUGGUUCAAUCCCCAGCAUUUUUCA